rnacentral:misc_RNA from 1 species
UGGUCAUAUGCUCUCUGUAGAAAGGCAGAAGGAAUUAUGCAAAAUGGCUUCAACCCCCCACAUGAUAAACCAGCCGAAAAUGUAACUGCAUGCUGCUCAGCCAUUCCCACUUCAAAAAACCUGUCAGGAAAUCUUUCCUGAAUUACUUGAAAAGCCAUUUCCAUUUCCAUUCCUGCAUGAACAAUCACAAUUUCUUUGUCCUUCUCUGCCUCCAUGACCAAAGUCUCAACGAAGCAAUCACUAUAUGUCCGAGUAUGAAUAUUACAGAGAGAAGAAUUAGACGUAAAUGAACCUUCCUGCAGGUUCCCCAAUGCCUCACUCUUUCGCUUAUCUUCUAGUUCUCGAUUUUCUUCUGUUAUUACAUGUACCAAGACAGGACCCAUAGAAUUCAGAGAUGCCACUUCUUGUAGAACACAAACCAGGUCUUCAAUGUUGUGUCCAUCAACAGGGCCUAUGUAAUACAAACCAAGUUCUUCAAAAAGGGUUGAUCCUAGAGGACCCAUCAUACCACGUGCAU